rnacentral:lncRNA from 1 species
UUGUAGGUGUGCAUCUUGUUUCUGAACUCUCCAAAGAAUCUCGUCAAAAUGUACACACCCCGGCAAUAGCCUCUGUGGCCCUUUUGAAAUUUUCCAAAGGAAAUCUGCCAUUUAAAUUUUAUAUCACAAACAACCUAAUCCACAGAAAAAUGUCAUGACAGAUAUUUUCAUUGAAUAAAAACUUUACUCCAGUAGUCAGGUUUCAUAUACACUAAAUAAUGAUUUUAUACAAAUCAGUGUGUCUCAUUUAUUCUUGUUACUCACCAUAAACUAACAGUACAAGCAUUCUGGCUGUUUUCAGUGAAUUUCCCAGCAUUUGCUUGGCCUAUCUGAUUAGAUAUAUUUUUAAAAAAUCUCUCUCUGAAACUUCACAUUUAUAACGUAAUCAACAAUAUUUCAGAGUACAACCAAUGUUUGUAUGAAUGAAAAUAGUAUAGUGACGCUUUAAAUGCAUCUUAAUGAUCUCCUCUGUGUUCAAUGAGAAUAUGACAAGAAGCUUAAUGUGCUUUGCAAUACGGAAAAUACAGGAUAGCAGUAUUUAUAAAAAAAAAAAGUAUAAAACACAAAACGCUAAACUGACAAUAAUAAUGAAAUUUAAACUAUGAGUGUACUACAAGCUACAAAAGCAAAUAAGAUAAUAAAUGAAAAUAUUUAAUAUUAUUGCAUAUUUUUAAGGCCUGUCAUCUCAGCAGCUUUUUUCAAAUAAAUUCAUAAGGAGAAAAAACAAGAAACAUCUGUAUUGUGAGAAUUAAGCAGCAUGAAUUUCUAAAAUAAAAGUGACUAAUACCUCAAACUUAAGUGGAAAAAACAAAUAAACGGAUCUGGAAACCAUCCGCUGCUGUGUGGUAUUAGAUUUUUACACUUUUUUGGAGUGAAUAGAGGCUAAAAAGAAUAACUCAACAUUGUCAGCAGCAGUUGCCAAACCAGGAAAUGACAAAGCUAAUAAUAGCCGAAAGCUAUUUUAAACAGUUUUAAUUAACACUGUGUUUUCAAAUGGAAACUUUAUUGAUAGUGAUAGGUCUGACACGUUGGGUAUUUCCUGAAGGACGGAUUACGGUUCGGUCAAAACAACAGGUGUGUGCAGUGUGUGUGUGAAGGGCUUCGUGCUUGACAUGGAAUACUGGUGACACCAGGAAUGCAACAGGCAUAGCUCGGGGAGUCCACACAGAGAGAGCCAUGGGAAAUACUCCCAGGAGGUCAAAGGUCAGGGUCCAUGAGGAAAGAGAAUUUAGUAUAAAACUUGCAAUGGAAGACCCUUUGACCAGAUCCACAAACUGUUAUUCCUCUGAGGACACUGCUUUUUGUCAAACUCCAGAUUUGGAGGCUGAUGUUUUAUUAAAAUUUAUAAUCCCAUCACACUGGACUGAACCCGUCCAUGCUCUGUGGUUUUCCAUCUAUUCCCAAAGCUCACUGCAAUAAACUCCUCUAAUUAAUUUUGAGUUUUGCAUCUGUUUCCAGACAAAAUACAACCCCUCUGUAUUGGCAGGAUGUGAUUUUAAUCUGAAAUAAUUACAGAUGCCCUGCUUAUAAUAAGAGGUCACUAUUUAUUUUAUAUUUAUUACCCAGAAUUUAUUCAGAGAAAAGGGGGCUGUAGCAGCAUGUGAAAAACGUAAUUUAUUUAGCUAUCAAAUAAGUUGAAUUGAUGACUGAUGAUUCAUAUACUGUGAUGAGCUGCAUGUAGCAUGUGGACAGUCUGAUUUAUUGAAAAGUAAUUCUAAGAUAACAAAUAAAACUAUGUGAGUAACACAUUUAAUCUCCUAAAAGCGACAUGCAAUUGGAUACAUACAUAAAUAUCGAAUAGAUUAUGUCCCCUGAUCUUUCAAGGGUUGAAGCAGCAAAGCCAUUUGAGAAGAAAACAGGCCAUUCAUAGAGCGCAUGAAAAAAGGCAUUGAUACAGAGGGCAAUAACAUUUGCUCAGUAGUCUACAUGGAUUACAGAUUAAAGACAAGAUGCAUUUGGUUUGAUGCGUUAGCCAACAAAUAGGCCCUGCACACACAGGAUAUGGUGGUCAGAUAAAUAAAGGAGGAUUUUUGAGACCUCGUGUCUGUCAGUUUUUAAAAGGCCUCGUUAAAAAUGACAGGCUCAGAAAAUUAAAUGUUUAAAUGUUAUGGUCUGCAUUGGCACAAAACCUCUAGACCGUGCUUGUAGCCAGUUCUUCUUCAAUCUUACUUUAUUUUUGGGGGGGUAGGGGGUGGGGGUGGGGACCUGCUGAGCGAGAGACCGGUGAGAGCAAAGCCAACUGGAGCAGAAAGAGCCACUCCUCAGACUUCAACCCAGGGAGACUUCAACCACGCACAAUCUUUGCAUGAGACUAAAUGUAUACAGUCAGCGCGAAACGGACUAAACAGCUCUGUUAUAUCUGCAAUUAGACGAGAAAUCGCCUUCAGUGUUGCAUUAUUAAGGAAUGAGGCAGGCAUACGUUCCAUGUGCUUUGUGCACACACAGCCACUGGAGACACAAGGGUUAUGUCACAUCAUGUUUUCACUUAAGAUUAAAUUUAUGUAAGGCUGCAACAAAUUGAUGCUUGAACGAUGAACAUACACGUGCAAAACCAUCCGACCUCUCAUUCUAUUUAUAGAGCCAGCAUGGGAAUGGGGGGAAAUGGACAGUGAUGUGUCAGGAUUGGACAACAACAAAAAAAACAUUUUGAUUUAAUGUGGAAAAAUGUGUAUUUACUGUCAACAAAGAUCAAUGUUACUUCAGUACAAUGGCUUUUAACCUUGCUGAUACAUUAAGAACUUGUGAUUUCAUCAUUUCAUGAUGACCAUUAACUGGUUUAUAAAAUGCUUCAGUGAUAAAUAUGUAAUUUUGUUUGUUUAAAGUAAUUGUAAACAUUAGAAUUUUAAGGCAGUACACAUUCUUGGAUUACCCAAACAGGAAGUUUCACUUAUGUUGCUUUCACAGAGUUUCACUCACAAAAACGUGUGUACAGACAAAGGCUCACACAUCCAUGCACAAAAAUAUAAACAUAAUACAAUAUUAUGUAUUACAGUAUAAUCUAAGCACCACUUAGAACCUGCAUCCUCCCAACACUUUAACCCUGCAUCUGCACGCUGGGGGAAGCACAAAAUAAUGGUACAAAAAACUCUAAGAUGCAGUGUUAUGGUCUUUAUAUGUGUAAUCCUCCACUAGCUGUCUGAACCUGCUCUUUAUAGGGAGUCUUGAAGAAGACAGUGAAACAGAUUAUGAGGAGAAUAUGAGGAUCUUUGUUUUUUUGUGCUGUCAUUUGUUCAUCAACAGUACUUGAUACAAAAGUCAAAAGAAAUGUGUCAAAACAUUGUUCAUGCAUUUUUUAAUUUCAGAUUAGUAUCGCCAAAACCUAUAUCACAGUAUUUUUGUGAUGAAAGCUAUGACUCAUCAUAAAAACAAGUGGCCCUUUCAUUGUUAUUGGAGAUGAAUUGUCAACAUUGAUCAUAAAUGUCUGUAUCAUUGAAAAUCUAAAUAAACAGUUCCCCUAAAAUAUUUGUUCAUUUUUACUAAUAUUAUUAUUGCUAUUAGUAUUACACUUAUAACCAUGAAUAAUUUUUAAUUUUCUUGUGGGAACCUUCCCACAACUCAAUGGAGUUUAUUUAAUCUAAUCUGUAAUCUAUUAUUGUCAAUUGUAUUAUUACUAUUAUUAUUGAUGUUAUUAUUAUAAUUAUUAUUAUUGUUGUUGUUGUUGUUGUUGUUGUUGUUGAUGUUAGUAUUAUUAGCAUCAUUAUUAUUGUUAUUAUUAUUAUUAUUAUUGUUAUUAUUGUUAUUGUUAUUAUUAUUAUUAUUGUUGUUGUUGUUGUUGAUGUUAGUAUUAUUAGCAUCAUUAUUAUUGUUAUUAUUAUUAUUGUUAUAAUAAUAAUAAUUAUUAUUAUUAUUAUUGUUAUUGUUGUUGAUGAUGUUGUU